CUUCUCUUGCUUUGUAUUAUUUCCAGGUCACAAUGAGCUUCAGGCUGAAAUAAUGAAGGUAUUUAGUGAAUGAGUCCUCGCUGAACCAUCCUGAUCCGGCCAGCUUCCUUGGAAGUUGAGUAUUUCCAUGGUCCUCUGCUUAUUUCCAAAUGUGGAUGACCAGCAGCA
rnacentral:lncRNA from 12 species